ACAAUGGCAAGGAGGUCACACCUGUUCCCAUGCCGAACACAGAAGUUAAGCUCCUUAGCGCCGAUGGUAGUC
rnacentral:rRNA from 1 species